rnacentral:rRNA from 1 species
GAGGAAAAGAAAUCAACCGAGAUUCCGAAAGUAGCGGCGAGCGAAAUUGGACUAGCCCUUAAGCUUUACACGCGUUAGACGAACGGUCUGGAAAGUCCGACGAUACAGGGUGAUAGUCCCGUAGUUGACGACGUGUGUUCAGUGAAAUCGAGUAGGGCGGGACACGUGAUAUCCUGUCUGAAUAUGGGGGGACCAUCCUCCAAGGCUAAAUACUACUGACUGACCGAUAGUGAACCAGUACCGUGAGGGAAAGGCGAAAAGAACCCCUGUGAGGGGAGUGAAAUAGAACCUGAAACCGUGUACGUACAAGCAGUAGGAGCAGGCUUUGUCCUGUGACUGCGUACCUUUUGUAUAAUGGGUCAGCGACUUAUAUUCAGUGGCAAGGUUAACCAUCUAGGGGAGCCGUAGGGAAACCGAGUCUUAACUGGGCGUUCAGUCUCUGGAUAUAGACCCGAAACCAGGUGAUCUAGCCAUGGGCAGGUUGAAGGUUGAGUAACAUCAACUGGAGGACCGAACCGACUAAUGUUGAAAAAUUAGCGGAUGACUUGUGGCUAGGGGUGAAAGGCCAAUCAAACCUGGAGAUAGCUGGUUCUCCCCGAAAGCUAUUUAGGUAGCGCCUCGGACGAAUACUACUGGGGGUAGAGCACUGUUAAGGCUAGGGGGUCAUCCCGACUUACCAACCCUUUGCAAACUCCGAAUACCAGUAAGUACUAUCCGGGAGACACACGGCGGGUGCUAACGUCCGUCGUGGAGAGGGAAACAACCCAGACCGCCAGCUAAGGUCCCAAAUUACUACUAAGUGGGAAACGAUGUGGGAAGGCUCAGACAGCCAGGAUGUUGGCUUAGAAGCAGCCAUCAUUUAAAGAAAGCGUAAUAGCUCACUGGUCGAGUCGGCCUGCGCGGAAGAUGUAACGGGGCUAAGUAGUAAACCGAAGCUGCGGCAAUGUGCUUUUGCACAUUGGGUAGGGGAGCGUUCUGUAAGCGGUUGAAGGUGUGUGGUAACGCAUGCUGGACGUAUCAGAAGUGCGAAUGCUGACAUGAGUAACGAUAAAGGGGGUGAAAAACCUCCUCGCCGGAAGACCAAGGGUUCCUGUCCAACGUUAAUCGGGGCAGGGUAAGUCGACCCCUAAGGCGAGGCCGAAAGGCGUAGUCGAUGGGAAACGGGUUAAUAUUCCCGUACUUCUUACAAUUGCGAUGGGGGGACGGAGAAGGCUAGGUGGGCCUGGCGACGGUUGUCCAGGUUCAAGUGCGUAGGCUUAAGAGUUAGGUAAAUCCGGCUCUUUUUAAGGCUGAGACACGACGUCGAGCACCUACGGGUGUGAAGUCAUUGAUGCCAUGCUUCCAGGAAAAGCCUCUAAGCUUCAGAUUGUAAGGAAUCGUACCCCAAACCGACACAGGUGGUCGGGUAGAGAAUACCAAGGCGCUUGAGAGAACUCGGGUGAAGGAACUAGGCAAAAUGGUACCGUAACUUCGGGAGAAGGUACGCUCUCGACGGUGAAGUCCCUCGCGGAUGGAGCUAUUGAGAGUCGCAGAUACCAGGUGGCUGCAACUGUUUAUUAAAAACACAGCACUGUGCAAAAUCGUAAGAUGACGUAUACGGUGUGACGCCUGCCCGGUGCCGGAAGGUUAAUUGAUGGGGUUAGACUUCGGUCGAAGCUCUUGAUCGAAGCCCCGGUAAACGGCGGCCGUAACUAUAACGGUCCUAAGGUAGCGAAAUUCCUUGUCGGGUAAGUUCCGACCUGCACGAAUGGCGUAAUGAUGGCCACGCUGUCUCCACCCGAGACUCAGUGAAAUUGAAAUCGCUGUGAAGAUGCAGUGUACCCGCGGCUAGACGGAAAGACCCCGUGAACCUUUACUACAGCUUGGCACUGAACAUUGACCCUACAUGUGUAGGAUAGGUGGGAGGCUUUGAAGCACGUACGCCAGUAUGUGUGGAGCCGUCCUUGAAAUACCACCCUUGUAGUGUUGAUGUUCUAACGUCGACCCCUAAUCGGGGUUGCGGACAGUGCCUGGUGGGUAGUUUGACUGGGGCGGUCUCCUCCCAAAGAGUAACGGAGGAGCACGAAGGUGGGCUAAUCACGGUUGGACAUCGUGAGGUUAGUGCAAUGGCAUAAGCCCGCUUGACUGCGAGAAUGACAAUUCGAGCAGGUGCGAAAGCAGGUCAUAGUGAUCCGGUGGUUCUGAAUGGAAGGGCCAUCGCUCAACGGAUAAAAGGUACUCCGGGGAUAACAGGCUGAUACCGCCCAAGAGUUCAUAUCGACGGCGGUGUUUGGCACCUCGAUGUCGGCUCAUCACAUCCUGGGGCUGAAGUCGGUCCCAAGGGUAUGGCUGUUCGCCAUUUAAAGUGGUACGCGAGCUGGGUUUAGAACGUCGUGAGACAGUUCGGUCCCUAUCUGCCGUGGGCGUUGGAAGAUUGAAGGGGGCUGCUCCUAGUACGAGAGGACCGGAGUGGACGAACCUCUGGUGUUCGGGUUGUGUCGCCAGACGCAUUGCCCGGUAGCUAAGUUCGGAAUCGAUAACCGCUGAAAGCAUCUAAGCGGGAAGCGAGCCCUGAGAUGAGUCUUCCCUGAUACUUUAAGUAUCCUAAAGGGUUGUCGGAGACUACGACGUUGAUAGGUCAGGUGUGUAAGUGCUGUGAGGCAUUGAGCUAACUGAUACUAAUUGCCCGUGAGGCUUAACCAUACAACACCCAAGGGGUUU